UAUCAUUAGCGAAAAGCAUACACCAAGGGACCUCAUCUUGGAUGUGUCUGGUUAAAUCAUCCAUGAUGAGUGCAAACAAAUAAGGGCUUAGAGCUGAUCCUUGGUGUAACCUAAUUGUAAUAGGGAAUUCGCUACUUUGGCCCUCUGUAGUUUUGACACUAGUCACCAUGCCCUCAUACAUGUCCUUAAUUAUAUCCACAUAAUUUAAAGAACCUUUUAC